AGCUCAAUGAUAAGAGCAGUCGCCCGGCAAGCGAAAGACUCGGGUUUGAUUCCCGA
rnacentral:tRNA from 1 species